rnacentral:rRNA from 1 species
UACGAAGGGAGCUAGCGUUGUUCGGAAUCACUGGGCGUAAAGCGCACGUAGGCGGAUUGUUAAGUCAGGGGUGAAAUCCUGGAGCUCAACUCCAGAACUGCCUUUGAUACUGGCGAUCUCGAGUCCGGGAGAGGUGAGUGGAACUGCGAGUGUAGAGGUGAAAUUCGUAGAUAUUCGCAAGAACACCAGUGGCGAAGGCGGCUCACUGGCCCGUAACUGACGCUGAGGCACGAAAGCGUGGGGAGCAAACAGG